GUCGUUCUUUGACGGAAAUGCCACCGGAGAAGGACCCAAUUUUGCUGACCGAAACAUACACUCUCUGAUCGUGAGGACCAGAUAAGAGCGGCCCCGGGUGUCAAUCUAAGACGAUGGAAGUGGGGCCUAUUCAUAUUUAUACUUAUAUUUUCAAUAUGAGUGUUGCAAAAUAUAUAAUUUUUAAUUUUUAUAAAAAAGUUUUCUUUCCUUUUUUUUUGGGGAAAAAGUAAUUUUUGGAAGUACUA
rnacentral:lncRNA from 1 species